rnacentral:rRNA from 1 species
UCGGGAAUUUUGGGCAAUGGGGGAAACCCUGACCCAGCAACGCCGCGUGAAGGAUGAAGUAUUUCGGUAUGUAAACUUCGAAAGAAUAGGAAGAAUAAAUGACGGUACUAUUUAUAAGGUCCGGCUAACUACGUGCCAGCAGCCGCGGUAAUACGUAGGGACCAAGCGUUGUUCGGAUUUACUGGGCGUAAAGGGCGCGUAGGCGGCAAUUCAAGUCAUCUGUGAAAUCUCCGGGCUUAACUCGGAACGGUCAGAUGAUACUGCUUUGCUAGAGUGCAGAAGGGGCAAUCGGAAUUCUUGGUGUAGCGGUGAAAUGCGUAGAUAUCAAGAGGAACACCUGAGGUGAAGACGGGUUGCUGGGCUGACACUGACGCUGAGGCGCGAAAGCCAGGGGGAGCAAACGGGAUUAGAUACCCUCGUAGUCCCUGAGCGGGCUGGCAAGGCGCAU